GAUCUAGUAGCCUGCUAUAAAGAUAUUCCAUUCACCACAUCAGCUGGCGUAUGCAAGGUUGCAUCCAUUCAAAGCGGAUCAAUAAGCUAGAUAGCAUAAUUAUUGGAAGUCAAGCCAGAAAGUCCUAGAUUUUGACUUGCUUUUCUCUUUUUAGUUUGCCAGUGCAUUUCCCAUUUGAUGUAAAAAUGACUUUUUUUUUUUUUAAAUGAACUGUGUAAAAAUACAAAUGGGGAGCAUGAAACUGCUUCUUGUAUUGCCUCAUUUAUAUUGGAGUUGUAGAAUUCUGUUUUUCAUUGCC
rnacentral:misc_RNA from 1 species